GCGCGAUUAGCUCAGCGGUAGAGCAUUGCAUUCACAUUGCAGGGGUCACAGGUUCGAAUCCUGUAUCGCGCA
rnacentral:tRNA from 1 species